UUGUACACACCGCCCGUCGCACCUACCGAUUGAAUGAUUCGGUGAAAAUUCUGGACUGUGGCUCGGACGCCUUCGGGCGACCUUGCUGUGGGAAGUUAUUUAAACCUCAUCAUUUAGAGGAAGGUGAAGUCGUAACAAGGUUUCCGUAGGUGAACCUGCGGAAGGAUCAUUACCACACCCUCAAAUA
rnacentral:rRNA from 1 species